GGCCCAGUGGCCUAGUGGUUAGAGCGCCCGCCUCGGAUGCAGGAGGUCGCGAGUUCAAACCCUGGCCGAGUCA